ensembl:lncRNA
CCCUUUAGACAAGAGUGUGUUUGCUCCCGCUGUAAUGCCGUUAUCUCCCUCUCUCUCCCCCUUCUAAUCUGGACACCACAAGUAAGCGCUUCUGACAAGAGCUGUGCACAAAUUGAAUUUUUCUUCCCCUAUCCCUUUCGAUUUAUAAUUCCCUCUCCCGCCCUACAAGCAAACUCAAUUUCUGACCCUUUAGACAAAAGGCUCAGAUAAAGCAAUUAGUUGAAGAUUCUGUGUGAGCUCCUGGCUCGGCUGACCUGCAUGGGAGUGUGAAGCACUAGGAGCAGUACAAACAGGGGCGAUGACAGUUUCACCUCCUUGGAGAUGAACUCAAGAGUCACUGGAAACAAAAGAAGUACUGACCAAGCAACAUUGUACAGAGUUGGGGAAAACCAAAAGAUAAAUGCUGAAGAGAUGUCAGGCCCUCUCCCCUUUUCACGGAACAAAAGAAAAUGCACUAGUGGAAUGUGACUGAAUCUCAUCUUUAACUUGCAAACCCAGCCAUCGAGUACAAUCAAUCACAAACCUCAAGAGUUCCCUUAGAGAAGACUUAUACAUUGCUACUCGGAACAUCCGGAGACAGCGAGGACCUCUUCCUCAGCUAGGUCCAAUACUAUCCGGGGUCAGGUCGCUGGGGCAACAGCUCCAGCAGGGACCCCAAACUUCCCUUUCCUGGGCCACAUCUACCAGCUCUGACUGGGGGAUCCCAAGGCGUUCCCAGGUCAGUGUAGAGAUAUAAUCUCUCCACCUAGGGUCUUCCCAGCUGGCCGUGCCUGGAACACCCCCCUAGGGAGGCGCCCAGGGGGCAUCCUCACCAGAUCCCCAAACCACCUCAACUGGCUCCUUUCGACGCAAAGGAGCAGCGGCUCUACUCCAAGCUCCUCAACCUAUCUCUAAGGGAGACGCCAGCCACUCUCCAGAGGAAACCCAUUUCGGCCGCUUGUACCCGUGACCCAAUCUUCAUGAACAUAGGUGAGCGUAGGAACGAAGAUUGACCGGUAGAUUGAGAGCUUUGCCAGUUUUGGGGAAAACGCUUGCCCUGGAUCACCAGCUGGAUUCCUGGUGGACGCAGUCUGCUCUCCCAGAGCCCCCGGAAGGCGUUCGGGUCACCGUUCUCCGCGCCCUCCGGUCACCACUUUGCCUCCGGAGGUGGAGGCCAUCUCUAGGUCUCCAAUUGCCGGAUCAUACGGGGAGCAGGUGAUGCACCUCACGGCCCAUCUCCAGGCCACGUACUCCCUCCACGCUGGGCCGGAGCGCCCUCCCGAUCCGGCUCCACGACUCGUGCCCCCAACGCCUCCAGUCCCCACUCCAUAACUAAGGCCCCCUCUGUCACGAAUUCUCCAUCUUAUUACUUUUUUUCCUGCCUGCGUUCUAGUCAAUUAACUCUACUCAGUCAUUCCAGAUCCUGUCCUCAAUAAGAAAUCACCUCAUUCUCUUCACCUGGUCCUCAUGCCCUUCCCGACUGCAACCCAUUCCCUCGUUAGUCCCUCACUACAUAGGUCCCCCCCACUUGUCCUCUGCCAGAUUGUCUUGUGUGCAUGCAAAGUUUUCCAGCGUUUUCCGAUUACAGAUAUCCCAUCCUGACCUAGCCUGCCUUCUCUUGACCACGUGUCAGGGGAUGCGUGGGGAAGGCAGGACUCAAAAGCAGACGUCAAAAGCAAAAGGACUUUAAUCGUCAAAAAGGCAAAAGCAAAAGACCAAUGGGCAAAAACACACAAAAACUGGGGGCAAAAAGGCACGCAGGAACAGGGAACAUCCACGACGAUAGACAGGGACUUCGUGACAAGAGACAAUGACGCCACAAGUGACAAACCCACUCUGGAGGUGCACGUGAUUGGACACAGGUGGAAACAAUCCGACAAUCACAGGGGAUGACAGGACCAGGCAGGAAGUGAAGUUACCCGGGGACACGAGUGGCAGAAAACUACAAAAUAAGACAGGAAGUGCACCACACCGUGACACCACAAACUCUUCGCCUGCCCUCUUAUUGGAUUUGUUUGCCUGUCGGAUCGCCGUUCUGUUUCUGAACCCUGCCUGUCCCAGUUUACGGAUUUCCUGGCUGCCCCUCUGGAUUUGUUUGCCCAUUGGACUGCUAUCCCAGUUUUGACCCUGCCUGUAUAAGUAAAGAACUUUAGAUUGAAUUCUGCCUCAGAGUUGUGCUUUUGGGUUACAAUAUCUGUAACCCUUAAACCCUCCCUUCUUAGGAAGAAUCAAUGCUGCAUUUCACAACCAGCUGUGAACUCUGUUGGAAUAUGACAACUAAAGCACUUGGCAUAAUGUAAUAAAAGUUAUUGGGCAUUAUCAAAGGUCCUUCCAAGAAAGGUGAUAAAAGUAAACAUCAAGUUGUGGCUGUUUUUUUGUGCUGCAAAUGCUUCUUAAGGUUUGCUGAGAUGUAGA